rnacentral:rRNA from 1 species
UACAGAGGGUGCAAGCGUUGUUCGGAAUUAUUGGGCGUAAAGCGCGUGUAGGCGGUAGUCCAUGUCGGGUGUGAAAGCCCUCAGCUUAACUGGGGAAGUGCGCCCGAAACUGGACUGCUAGAGUGUCGGAGGGGAAGGCGGAAUUCCCGGUGUAGAGGUGAAAUUCGUAGAUAUCGGGAGGAACACCAGUGGCGAAGGCGGCCUUCUGGACGAACACUGACGCUGAGACGCGAAAGCGUGGGUAGCAAACAGG